UGCCGCGAUGGCGGAAUUGGUAGACGCGCCAGGUUCAGGGUCUGGUGGGCGUACGCCUGUGAGGGUUCAAAUCCCUCUCGCGGCAA
rnacentral:tRNA from 1 species